AUACUUACCUGGCAGGGGAGAUACCAUGAUCAGCAAGGUGGUUUUCCCAGCAUGAGGCUCAUCCAUUGCACUGCGGGUGUGCUGACCUCUGUGAUUUCCCCAAAUGUGGGAAACUCAACUGCAGAAUUUGUGGUAGUGGGGGACUGCGUUCGCGCUUUCCCCUG
rnacentral:snRNA from 1 species